rnacentral:tRNA from 1 species
GCCUGGGUGGCUCAGUUGGUUGGGUGUCUGACUUCAGCUCAGGUCAUGAUCUCGCGGUUCGUGAGUUCAAGCCCUGCAUCAGGCU